rnacentral:lncRNA from 1 species
GGUUGGGCUUUCUUAACCAAGUAGUAAUUUCCUUGUCUAUCCUAAAUGUUGCCACAUGUUGGCCUCUCUGCAAGGUGAUGCCUCCCAGUUCCGAUUGCAGGAACCUCUUCAGGCUCUGUGAAGGUUUGUUGGAUUGGGCUUGUUUCCUUACAAUUGUUUGAGCUGGAAGGGACCUUUAAAGGCCAUCUGGUCCAGCCUACCUGCAAUGAACAAGGACACCUACAGCUCUGUCAGGUGCUCAGAGCCCCUUCCAGCCUGACCUUGGGUGUCUCCAGGGAUGGGGCAUCCACCACCUCUCUGUGGUGGCAACCUGUGCCAGUGCCUCACUGAUUGUAAAAAACAUAUUCCUUAUAUCCAGUCUAAAUCUCCCCUCUUUUAGUUUACAACCAUUUCCUCUUGUCUUAUCACCACAGACCCUGCUGAAGAGUCUGUCUCCUUCUUUCUUACAGCCUCCCUUUAAAUACUGAAAAGCUGCUCUCAGGUCCCCCCCGAGCCUUCUCUCCUCCAGGCUGCACAGCCCCAGCUCUCUCAGCCUGUCCUCAUAGGAAAGGCAUUCCAUCCCUUGAAUAAUUUUUGUGGUUCUCCUCCAGACGUUCCUCAACAGGUCCACAUCUGUCCUGUGCUGAGGACUCCACAUCUGGAUGCAGUGCUCCAGGUGAGGUCCCACAGCGCAGAGCAGAGGUGAAGGAUCACCUCCCUCCAACUGCUGACCACACUGCUUUGGAUGCAGCCCAAAAUAAUUAAAUUAUCCAUAACAAAAAUGAUAAGAAAAAAAAAAAACCCACACCAACGUGAAAGCAAGUCUUCACAAAAGUCCUCAGAUUUUUAAGGCUGUGUUAUGUUGCUGAGAAUAUCUAAAAGGAGAGUAUGCCUGAGUGAGAGAUAGUGCUCAUGACUGCUGCUAAGGCAUUACGAGAGGUGAUUUUUGGCCCUAGUCGCAAGGAUACAUGCCGAGCUUGAUGGCACAAGGGCUUCUCUUCUUCCCCAACCUCAUAAUGAAGCCCAGUACGCAUCCUUCACCUUUGCCCAUCCCCAGGCCAACAUUAAUGACACAAUGACUACAGAUGCAGGGAGAAAUUCUGCCUCUGGGAUGUCUCUGACCCUCACUACUGUGGCACUGUGCAUCUCACUGUGCUGCCCUCUGGAAGGGACCCAUCAGGAUCACUGACAUGGGCCUGUCCAUCCCAAAAAGAGCCCGAGCCCACCUCCAGAAGUUUUCUGAGUGAUUCCAGCCACGGCACAAGCAGAGCUUUGAUGGGCGAUGACUGCGGGGCAGAGAUUGCAUGAAACGUCCCCUUAUGCCAAGGUCCGGUGGGAGCGCAGCGAAGGGGAGAACCGACCCACCACAGACCCCAAGGAGCCCUCCGAGGCCGCCGUUCCCUCUCUGGGCAGAGCUGCGCGUUCCCGGCCAUGGGCUGUUUUAAGGCAUCGUGUCGGCAGGUGGUGCUCGGGGGCCGGCGAGCAUCCCGCAUCCCUGGUUGGGUGAGCAGCUAACCUGAAAAAAGUCCUCUGGUAG